CACAUCAAUAAGCGGAGGAAAAGAAACUAAGCCUAAGGCAUUCCCCUAGUAACUGCGAGUGAAGCGGGAAAAGCUCAAAUUUAAAAUCUGGUGGUCUUUGGCCAUCCGAGUUGUAAUCUAGAGAAGUGUUAUCCGCGCUGGACCGUGUACAAGUCCCCUGGAAUGGGGCGUCAUAGAGGGUGAGAAUCCCGUCUUUGACACGGACUACCAGGGCUUUGUGAUGCACUCUCAAAGAGUCGAGUUGUUUGGGAAUGCAGCUCAAAAUGGGUGGUAAAUUCCAUCUAAAGCUAAAUAUUGGCGAGAGACCGAUAGCGAACAAGUACCGUGAGGGAAAGAUGAAAAGAACUUUGGAAAGAGAGUUAAACAGUACGUGAAAUUGUUGAAAGGGAAACGCUUGAAGUCAUGUCGCGUCUGCCAGGGAUCAUACCUUACUUUUGUGAGGUCGUUACUUCCUGGUUGAUGGGUCAGCAUUUUCAGUUUUGGUCGUCCUGGAUAAAGGUCAGCAGAAAUGUGGCAUCCUUUCGGCGUGUGUUAUAGUCUUUGAUCAGAUACAGUGGCUGGGACUGAGGAACUCAGCGCCGCAAGGCUGUCUUAGGAUGCUGC
rnacentral:rRNA from 1 species